rnacentral:rRNA from 1 species
GCGAACGCUGGCGGCAGGCCUAACACAUGCCAGUCGCACGAACUCUUCGGAGUUAGUGGCGGACGGGUGAGUAACACGUGGGAACGUGCCUUUUGGUUCGGAAUAACUCAGGGAAACUUGUGCUAAUACCGAAUGUGCCCUUCGGGGGAAAGAUUUAUCGCCAUUAGAGCGGCCCGCGUCUGAUUAGCUAGUUGGUGAGGUAACGGCUCACCAAGGCGACGAUCAGUAGCUGGUCUGAGAGGAUGACCAGCCACACUGGGACUGAGACACGGCCCAGACUCCUACGGGAGGCAGCAGUGGGGAAUCUUGCGCAAUGGGCGAAAGCCUGACGCAGCCAUGCCGCGUGAAUGAUGAAGGUCUUAGGAUUGUAAAAUUCUUUCACCGGGGACGAUAAUGACGGUACCCGGAGAAGAAGCCCCGGCUAACUUCGUG